CACAAAUGAAAUUAUCUAGCACUUUCCCAUCUCAGUACAUGCAGCCAUCUCGUCAUUUUGUCCAGUAAUGUUUGCUUUACAAUGAGCCCAGAAUGCUAUAGCUGUUCUGUACUAUUUGCAAUAUUUCGCACCCCAUGUGCUACUAGGUUGUUAAUGGAAUCCAGUGUGUAGGAGAUUGACUAAGUGAACAAGGUUCAAGGUG